rnacentral:tRNA from 1 species
GGAUGGAUUCCCGAGUGGCCAAAGGGGGCAGACUGUAAAUCUGUUGCAAGUUGCUUCGGAGGUUCGAAUCCUCCUCCAUCCA